GGCACUGUUGCCAGGGCCUGAGCCCAGCAGAAAAAGGGUGUGUGCAGAGGGAGGGCCUUGGGUCCUGCUGCUCCUCCUGGACUCCUUCAUCCCAAUGCCUUCACAUCCUCCUCUGACAAGGACUCCCACGUCCCUCCCCGGCUAACCUGGAUCCUGCUCAACCCAACACCUGCCUUCUCUCAGUCCCUGGGUUCCUGCAGGCCUUGGGGCCCCACAGUCAUAUCUGCUGUUCCUGCAGCCUCCCUUGAUGAUCAGUUCCCGCCUGGGGUCACCAGGCUGCUUCAAAUUGCGGUGACCAUGGUAGGGAUGGUGACUUGAGAUUCCUGGGCCAUAAUGCAGCAGUUCCCGUCUUCCCUCUGUCCCAGCUCAGCACAGUCACAGGAACUCUCCAAAUCAUGACGCUCAAAAUGCCACAUCUAAAAAGAACAUCCGGGCUCUGCCCCUAAGAAAGUAAAUUCAUGCACCUACAAAGAGAAAGGAACGGCACAGCCAUCCACCUUUCAACUCCUGAGUUUCCAUCUGCACCCUUCAACACUUAUUAGGACUUACAUGAAACUAUGUGACAUCUUUUUAUUUCUAUUAAACAAAAUACAGCUUU